UUACGUUUGUGUGUUUACCAUUACUAGAGAACUUUAUAUUUCCAUAUGGCCUUGAGUUCCUGUUUAGCAUCCUUUAGUUUCAAUUUGAAGGGCUUCUUUUAGCAUUUCUUGUAGGCUGUAUCUCUCACCUAUGAAGGAUAUUUUUGCUGGUUAUGAAGUUCCCCAUUCUCAUUUGACAGUUUACAUUCUUUCAGUUCUUUAAACAUAUCAUACACUGCCUUCCAGCCUGGAAGGUUUCUUCUGAAAAUUUCACUGAUGGUUUUAUGGGGAUCUCUUGUAUGAGAUGUGUCUUUCCUCUCUUGCUGCUUUCAAGAUUCUCCUGUGUCUUUGACUUUUGACAGUCGGAUUAUGUCUCAGAAUGGAUCCUGUGUGUUUGGCUGUUUGAAGUUCAUUGAGGUUAUUUGUACAUUCAUGCCUUUCUUCAGUUUCAGGGAAGUUUUAGACAUUAUUUAGCCUCAAAUCAUCUCCAUGCCCUUGCUCUCUCUUUUGGAACUCCCAUAAUGCUUACAUUGAAUUUUUCUAACUGCAUAGAAUAAGUAAAUCCUGUAUCAAGCAAUUUUAUUCAGUUGGAAUUAUUUGCAAUCUAAUAUAGCAAGAUAAUAGCAUUAUUAGUGUGCAAAAUGUUUAUCUUUUUUUAAUUGAAUUAUAGUUGACAUACAAACUUAUGCUGGUUUCAAGUAUACAACACAGUGGUACAACAGUUCCCCCUAUUAAAUCCUCAACCUGACUAGUGCAGUUACUAUCAGUCAGCAUAAGAUGUUAGAGAAUCAUUGGCUAUAUUCUCCAUGCUGUACUCCAAUCCCUGUCACCAACUUAUGAUUGAGAAUUAUUGUACCCCUUUAUCCCCCUUUCCUUCCUCACCCACUCAUCCCAACCCUUCCCCUGUUAACCACAUCACUUCUCAGUUGUCUAUGAGUCUACUUCUAUUUUGUACCUUUUGUUUGUACCUUAUUGUUCCACAAUAAGUGAAAUCAUGUGGUAUUUGUCUUUCUUUGCUUGGCUUAUUUCACUUAGCAUAAUAUGCUCUACAUUCAUUACUAUUGUCACAAAAGGCAAGAUUUUUCUUUUUCAAAGCUGAAUAUUCCAUCUUGCAUAUGUACCACAUCUUCUUUAUGCAUUCAUCUAUUGAAGGACACUUUAGUUGCUUCCAUACCUUGGCUGUUGUAAAUAAUGCAGCAAUAAACUUAGGGGAGCAUGUAUCUUUUUGAAUCAGGGAUUUUGUUUUCUUUGGGUAAAUUCCUGGACGUGGGAUUUCUUGGAUGUAUGGUAUUUCUAUUUUGGGUUUUUUGAGGAACCUUCAUACUGCUUCUCCACAGUGUCUGCAACAACUGACAUUCCCACCAACAGUGUAGGAGGGUUCCCGUUUCUCCACAUCCUUGCCAACACUUGUUAUUUCUUGUUUUUUGGAUAGUCUUUGUCAUGUAUAUCUGUCAGGCCCCUUCCCUGUCUCUGACCCACAGAUGAGGGAAGAGACACGAUUGUUCGUCGAAGACCUAAGGACCAGCCAGGGAACUCAAGGCGUGACAGCGCAACAGUGGUGCCGGAAAGGCAGCUCUCAUAUUUAUUGAUAAAAUGGUUAACAAUAGUAAGAUUCUGUAUUGGGGUCUCCAUGCACAAUCAUUAAUCAAGUCCAACUCUCAACAGUUUCAACCUUCUGACACAUAAUGAACAAAUCCUCAUGGUGAACAAAUACAGAAACUGAUUCGGUCUUGGCUACCUGUCUUAACUACGAAUGAUCAUGAACUAUAAAUAAUCAAGGCAAAUGUGAUUACACAUAUGGUUUUUAUACUUUAGAUUAUAUUUAAUAUAUGAAUUCCCACAAUAUCUAAUUGGUAUAUCUCUUCAUGGAUAUUUUCUGGAGAUUCACUUGGUUUCUCUAAAUGGGCCCUGUUUUCAUGUUUCUUUGUAUUGGUGAUCUUUUGUUGAAAUUUGGGUAUUUGAAGAAACAGGUAACUCCUAGUUUUAGGAGGUUUAUAAGGAAGCCCUUCAUAGGAACAGCCUGAGGUAUAAAUAACCUUAAGUUUUACAUCUUUCCUGGCCAUACAUCCUUUUUGGCCUAUGUAUGUGUUUUUUUUUUCUUAUUCAUUUUUAUUGAUCUGCUUUUAGGUAUUUGAUUUCCUAAGAGUCUCAUCAUGCUCUUCUCAGUGCCUUAGAUGUUCUGUAUUCCUCUUCCUGUAAUGUCUUAGGUGUUUGUGCAUCUGUAGUUCCUUGUGAUUUUUGUGCACUGUGGCACCCAUCAACUGCCUUCUAUGGUUUCUAAGCUUAGAAUCAAACUAUGCCACGGUUCCUAGUCUAAGAUCCUAUUCAGGUGAAUUGGAGCCUACAGAUAGGUCAGUCCACUGCAAACAAGUUCCAGUCUUUUCUUUCCAUUUCAGAGAACUGAGAAUUGGGUCAUUUCUUCCCAGCUGUGGCAUGUCAUCUUGCAGAGGAGGUUGGGCAAGGGCACAUAAAAAUCUGCAGAAUUUCCCACCAUUUUGAAUGCAGUUUUUCCCUGGUUGGGUAUUCACUUGGUUACUUCAGAUAGCUGAUUUCCAGAGCUCCUAUAAAGUUGUUUUACCAGCUGGUAGUUUAUUUUUUGUUUCUCUGCGGAACAAGGGACCACAAUUUGCUCAUAUGCCAUUUUGCUGUAAAUUGACUUUUGGUAUUUACUAUGCCCUCUGCCUUCAUCAUUGAUAUAAAUAUUAGUGAGAUGCCUGCAUUACUAAUUAUGUAUGUUAAAAUAACCAUUAUGCAAGAAAAGAGGCAAUGAUGAGGCAGGAGUACAUUCCCAAAAUAGUGUGUGAAAAAGAAACAAUCUAUCACACUGUGGGGGGGUGGGGGGGAAGUACCAAGUAGAUUCUUUUUCUUUCUAUACUUGUUGCUUCUCUCACAACAGAAAAUGGUACAUCUUCCAGAUUAUGAAUAUUCUUACAAGGUUAGGAAAAAUUUUAAACAAGUUUUAAUUAUUUAGAUAUAGUUAUUAAUUAGAUUUUAAAUCUACAAUGUGCUCUGUUCUUUCUGUCCUCUAUAGUUGCCACACAGUCCAGAUUUUGCACCUACAGUCAUCUACACUUAGUCUUCUCUUCAAGUAAAUACUAUCCAUCCUUAUAGGCUCACAUCAAACUCCAUUGCUUUCUAGAAUUGGUCUCUGAAUGCUUAAGCUUACACUGCUCCUUGUCUUCUUUGUAUUCUUCUUAUAGGAAGUUACAAACUCGAACAUUUAGCUACUUAAGAGAGUUGAGAGGGAACCUUCAGUUAGUAGUGCAGUUACUGUUGUGACCCAGUGUCUAUCGCCCAGGUUAAAACAAAAAGAAAACACACUAGAAAUUCUUGUUCUAAGACCCUGCAAUGCUAGAAAGGAUGUAGAGACCAGGGAACUGGAAAUGGGCCAUCAUGUUGCGAAGGGACACUUUAAGAAGUGUCCACAGUGGAGAGCUAAGGGAAGGAAGAAUAAUGAGGACUUGAGGGAAGGUCUAGGGCUGAAGAGUUGCCCAUGGUUUUGUUGAGCACCAUAUUCUUUCCCAUAAGCAUUACUUUCAUCUCAGAUUUCUAUAUGUAUAUUGCUUUAAUUUCAUGUACCCAGCAUAUGAAAUCAAAUCUUCUUGGUUGUAUGAAGAUGAACUCAUAAUUCUGUCUGUGAAGUAAUGUAUUAGUUCAGGCAGGAGUAAGAUUCCUUCCUUCUUUCUGAAAGGUGAAAGCCAGGUAUUACAUGCAAGAGUUUGAUAUAUACUUUCCCACCUUAUUGGCAUAUUUUGCACCCUGACGUACACAUUAAAUGACACAAAGCUUUAGGGAUUACUUAGAAGAUAGAUGAAUCCUAUAAUUCUAAUUAAAAUGUUUCUAAUGUUCUUUGAAAAUGCUUCAGUGAAAGGUGGUCACUCAGAAUUCUUAAUUUUAUUCCAAUACUGAGGAAAGCAACCACUCAAAAAGAAUGUACUGAACCCCCUUCAGUGAUUGGAGAGGUCCGAGAUUAACCUUGAGAACCAAAAACAUGAAAAGGUUUGCGUGAAGUGCACACUGUAACCCAGCAUGAUUUAAAUUAUAAAAUUAUAUUGUUGACUAAAAUUAUGCAAACCACGGGCAAUGCAAAUUAUAAGUGAAUUAGGAGCUGUGGGCAGAAUCUUGAAAGAUUGGAGUUGUUACAUAUAUACAUCCUAAGCAAUACCGUAGGUUUGAUGUGAGUUUUUUUGUUUUCCAGUGACUGUUAGUGCAAAUCCCCUUAAUGUAUUUUGCAUGAUGUAGCGCCUGAAUUUUAACAGCAAGUAGAAAAAAAUUUUUUAACAUAAGAGUUAAAAGUUACCCUUUUCACUUAACUUCGUUGUAUGGUACAAACAAUCGCUUCCUGGGAUCCUGGGCAACUAGACCCCAAGAGGGAGAUCCAGUAAUUGAGCCCCUCCGACCCCUGGAAAGUGGGUUUUGUGCGCACCCUUGUCAGAGACAAUUGGAGAGUUUUGUCUUUCCUUUCGGCUAUUACGCAUUUGGUUUAGUUUAGACCCAGCUACUUCUACUCUAACCAAAAAAACCCAGAGUCCCACACUCAGGGUCUAAGGACCUCUGAGCCCUGACAGACAGCCCCAAAGACCUCCUGCUUCCUGCCCUCCAGCUCCUCUCGCACCGCCACGCAGCCGCUCGGGUGCAGAGGAGCCCGAACCUCCGGCUGCACCAGGACGCUGAGGCAUCCAGGACGGUUAUGGCCCAGGGGCCCCGCCUGUGGCUAGCCCUGCCCCUUCCCCAAAGGCUGGAGCCCCGGCAGGGGCCGCGAUGACGGGCGUGCUGCCACUCACGUGUCCACACUGCUGGCUGUCCGCGACCACGUUGCUGGCGACAGUCUUGGUGGCGGCGACGCUGGCCUUCUCGGAGCAGGCACUGAAGUACAGCUCCAUGGCCGCCCCAGGCCGGCUCUGCCCCUCUGUCACCUUCCCUGGAGCUAGCCCUCCAUCCUGACCUGACCGGAAAUGGCCAGUACUCUGCAUCCUCGAGGCUCCUCCCUUGCAGCCUUCUAGGCUCGGAACUGGGACAAUGGGGGACGGGGGUGUUGGCGCAGAAGGGUGACGUCCCACCUCCUGCCCCCUCCCGGCCUGGCCCCCCCUCGCAAGUGAGACCUGAGGGCAUCAGAGCUGGGAAGGAAGUCCUGUUGGCCUGCUCCAGAGGGUCAUGGUCCGAAGUGUCAUUUCUCUGGGAAACCCAACUCCCCUAAGUUAAACCAAACUGAAAAUAAAACAUAUAAAAGUUUGCUGGGGGAGAGGGGUAAGCUGGCUAAUUUCAACUCUCUUUAUCAAAACAUUAGUACUGAGUUUGGAGUGAGACUUAAAAGGAAGCUUUCCUAUAAGAUUUGUGGAUGAAUUUGGAAGUCAAAAGUUUCAGCCAGGAUGAUUUUGGUUAUCCUUGCAGCCAGUGUCCUUGUCUCAUGUAGAAAAUCUUUAUUGGGUAUUAUUUCCAUUUCACAUUCUUGUAGAACUUUGCUAUGCACUGUGUCAAUAACGUUUUGAACUAUACCUCUCUCCCCUGGGAGCAAACACAAUUGUUCCUCGGCAUUCUCUAGAAUGCUAACUUGAGCUUUUGAGAAUUCCUCUGCUAUCGAAUGUAUGAGUUUUUCAGCUUUAUCAAACAGUUCAUUUUCUGAAUCUUUUACAUAAAAUCACUGCCUCCUUUCUUCACCAAAAUAUGUAUAUGAACAAGGUAAUGAAUUUCCAUCCACAAAUGGCUGAUGUUGCUGACGUGUUUAAUGAUAACACCUGCUACUCUAUCAAUAAGAACAUCAUUAUCGCUUGUGGUGUUUUGCUCAACUAAUUCUUGAGACUCAGAGUUUUGUGAAAUAUUUUUUAAUACUGAGUCAACAAGAUGCUGAACAUCAUCUUUUGACUAAACAAACUUGGUUUCUUCUU